rnacentral:rRNA from 1 species
UACGUAGGGACCAAGCGUUGUUCGGAUUUACUGGGCGUAAAGGGCGCGUAGGCGGCGCGGUAAGGCACUUGUGAAAUCUCUGAGCUUAACUCAGAACGGCCAAGUGAUACUGCAGUGCUAGAGUGUGGAAGGGGCAAUCGGAAUUCUUGGUGUAGCGGUGAAAUGCGUAGAUAUCAAGAGGAACACCUGAGGUGAAGACGGGUUGCUGGGCCAACACUGACGCUGAGGCGCGAAAUCCAGGGGAGCAAACGGG